rnacentral:rRNA from 1 species
UACGAAGGGGGCUAGCGUUGCUCGGAAUCACUGGGCGUAAAGGGUGCGUAGGCGGGUCUUUAAGUCAGGGGUGAAAUCCUGGAGCUCAACUCCAGAACUGCCUUUGAUACUGAAGAUCUUGAGUUCGGGAGAGGUGAGUGGAACUGCGAGUGUAGAGGUGAAAUUCGUAGAUAUUCGCAAGAACACCAGUGGCGAAGGCGGCUCACUGGCCCGAUACUGACGCUGAGGUGCGAGAGCGUGGGGAGCAAACAGG